AUGUGCAAAUGGUCUUAUUAUGAGCGGCAUCAAACCCAGACUAGUGCGAUCCUUGAAAGAAUCAGACACGCAUUGGGUCGAGGAACUCGACACCGUACUCUGGGGGCUGCGGACCACGCCGAAUCAUACCACCGGAUACACACCAUUUUUAUGGUGUAUGGCGCAGAAGCAGUGUUGCCCUGCGAUAUAAUUCAUGACUCACCUCGCGUGCGCAUGUAUGAAGAGAAGGAAGCCGAGCUAGAUCAGCAGGGCAACUUAGAUGCUUUGGAGGAGGAGCGUGAUGUCGCUAAAGCCCGUUCCGCAUUCUAUCAGCAACAGGCUCGAAGGUAUCAAAGUAGAGAAGUACGGGCCAAAACUUAUAACAUUGGCGAACUCGUUCUACGCCUACCUGAGAAGAAGAAGGACAAGCUCAAACCCAAGUGGGAGGGUCCCUUCAUCAUUGAUAAAGUUCUCACCGGAGGAGCGUACCGUCUACGCAACGCCUCUGAUAAUAGACUCGAGCUGAACCCAUGGAACGCGGCUAGACUCCGGAGAUUCUACGCCUAG
rnacentral:rRNA from 1 species